GCAAGUCGAACGAGACGAUGAAAGCUUGCUUUGAAAGUCGAGUGGCAAACGGGUAGAGUAACGCGUAGACAACCCUAGCCGCAAAGAUGGGGACAACAGUCCGAAAGGACUGCUAAUACCGAAUGUGUCAGAUUCCCGCAUGGGAGACUGAUUAAAGAUGGCCUCUACUUGUAAGCUAUCGCUUUGCGAUGGGUCUGCGUCUGAUUAGCUAGUUGGUGGGGUAACGGCCUACCAAGGCGACGAUCAGUAGCCGGUCUGAGAGGAUGAACGGCCACAUUGGAACUGAGACACGGUCCAGACUCCUACGGGAGGCAGCAGUGGGGAAUCUUCCGCAAUGGGCGAAGCCUGACGGAGCAACGCCGCGUGAGUGAAGAAGGGGUUUUCCGGCUCGUAAAGCUCUGUUGACGGGGACGAAUGUGCGAGAUGCGAAUAGUUUCUUGCAAUGACGGUACCCGUCGAGGAAGCCACGGCUAACUACGUGCCAGCCGCAGC
rnacentral:rRNA from 1 species